GAUGAACGCUGGCGGCGUGCCUAAUACAUGCAAGUCGAGCGAACAGACGAGGAGCUUGCUCCUCUGACGUUAGCGGCGGACGGGUGAGUAACACGUGGAUAAUCUACCUAUAAGACUGGGAUAACUUCGGGAAACCGGAGCUAAUACCGGAUAAUAUAUUGAACCGCAUGGUUCAAUAGUGAAAGACGGUUUUGCUGUCACUUAUAGAUGGAUCCGCGCCGCAUUAGCUAGUUGGUAAGGUAACGGCUUAUCAAGGCAACGAUGCGUAGCCGACCUGAGAGGGUGAUCGGCCGCACUGGAACUGGGACACGGUCCAGACUCCUACGGGAGGCAGCAGUAGGGAAUCUUCCGCAAUGGGCGAAAGCCUGACGGAGCAACGCCGCGUGAGUGAUGAAGGUCUUCGGAUCGUAAAACUCUGUUAUUAGGGAAGAACAAAUGUGUAAGUAACUAUGCACGUCUUGACGGUACCUAAUCAGAAAGCCACGGCUAACUACGUG
rnacentral:rRNA from 1 species